UUUACAAAUUUGUAAAAAAACGAAACUUCGUGCUAUCUCGUUGCUCUGCCAUUGGAAAUGAUUUCGAAAAAUGUAUUUUGUAGAAUUUUAUAUUUCUUGUUAUAUGAUAAAUUUUUAUUAUCGGCCAAACAGUUGAAACGAUAGUCAAUCAAUCAUCCUACAUGAUGCUCGAGCUCGAUCAUCUUACGUCAUUUCGAAGCUGAUUACUCAAGCAAGGAUCUACGAAGUCUCGAUAAUUAGAAGAUAAGUCAGUAAUUGAAUCAUCUUGAAGCUGAUUAAUCGUGCGAGGAUCUACAAAGUCUCUAUUCAUUGCAACGGCGCGCGAGGCAAUGAUAUAAAAUCGGUGCUUGCUCGAGAAUUUAGAUUCUUCCGCGUUUCGCGAUUUUUGAAUUAAAGAAUAAAUGAUUGCGCGCAAUGUGAUCACAGAUUUAAUGUCCGUCUCGUAGUAAAAGAACGUAAUUAACGCCUACUAGAGUCAGUGUUUUAUUUCAUCAAAUUAGAGUCAGUGCAUCAAAAAAGAUUAUUGAAGAUAUCUUUCCGAGGAUUAUCGCCGGAGUCGACGUUGAUCUAGCUCAUUUUCAACCUACUACGGAUCAACCCAUCUCGAUAUCCACUUACACGGCGGACGAGUGUUUUGGAGCCAUCGGAGAACUUCCAAAGUACAUUUGCAAAGCCGUCAGAGAUUCGACGAUAAUCUCCAAGUGGAUUUCAUCUUUUACCCGUAAAACCGAGCGGCCCGAGGAAAACAGAUAAACGGAUCAGCCUUUGACAAGUUGGGUUCUCCAUCGAGAAGGAAGAAUGGGAGAAGGAGACACGGGAAAGAAGUCCGAGGAAAGAUCUAACAGGUAUUUCGAGAAUUUUCGACGAUAUUUUAACGUUCUCGAAAUAUCGCUAAACCGAAUUACGUUUCUCCGAACAGCCAACACGACUACGUCGGACGUAAGUGCUCGAGUAUUUACCUAGCCUCUCACGGAGACGCGACUAAGCGGAGGAAUCGAAGCGAUCGGGUUUCAUUCAAAAAGGACGCCUCCCUCUUUCUCUCGUUCGCGGGGAUAUAAUGCGGAAGAAAUCAACCUGUCUAACGUCGUACCUUGUCGAACAGCAUCCGCCAUUUCUGAAAAGAGAAAAGAAAAGAAAGGAACGAAGAUAAAAACCGAUAAAAACCGAUAAAAAUAUUUAUGAACACGAAUAUACGCAACGUAAAGCAACUAGAACAUUCUAUGAAAAUCGUCUUGAACGGAAUGCUAAGGCGAAAGGUACAAAGGUAGGUUCCCUUUAUAUCGAGGUAUCUAUACCCAAAAAUGUUCAUUGAAAGGAAAUCCGCCUUUGAAAACGAUAAUCCGGUCGUUCGUUCUGAUGCUCGUACACGGAAGAAGAAAGCCAAGUUAUCCCAUUCUGGAUUCUGAAAAAUUGGCUGGGGAGACACCUGUCGCGAACAUUCUUUUUUUUCCCGGCAUUCCAAACUCUCGAAUACGUGCCAAAAUGCAAGAACGAAGGAUUUUUGCCCCUACCUUGCUUCCCUCUUCUUCUCUCUUUCCAUAGAAAGAAGAAAUAUUUUCCGACAGUUUAUAUGGGUCAGGGUUCGUUCUUUCACGAUCGAGAAUACGUCGCAGAGGUCUAAGAGACCGCGUAAAUCGAUCAAACGAUAUAAAAGGUAAAGGUAAGUUUGCAAAUACGUAUAAUAAUAGUAACGACAGGCUAAAGAACAAGAAGAAGAAGAA